CAUGGUACUAUGAUGACCUAAUACUACCUUAUGCCGUUUACCCAACUGAGUAUUACUUUGAUGCAAAUCUAAAAACUGAGUACCAGU
ensembl:snoRNA small nucleolar RNA, C/D box 87